AGCGAACGCUGGCGGCAGGCCUAACACAUGCAAGUCGAACGAACCUUCGGGUUAGUGGCGGACGGGUGAGUAACACGUGGGAACGUACCUUUUGGUUCGGAAUAACGCAGAGAAAUUUGCGCUAAUACCGAAUGUGCCCUUCGGGGGAAAGAUUUAUCGCCAUUAGAGCGGCCCGCGUUAGAUUAGCUAGUUGGUGGGGUAAAGGCCCACCAAGGCUACGAUCUAUAGCUGGUCUGAGAGGAUGAUCAGCCACACUGGGACUGAGACACGGCCCAGACUCCUACGGGAGGCAGCAGUGGGGAAUCUUGCGCAAUGGGCGAAAGCCUGACGCAGCCAUGCCGCGUGAAUGAUGAAGGUCUUAGGAUUGUAAAAUUCUUUCAGUAGG
rnacentral:rRNA from 1 species